rnacentral:rRNA from 1 species
AUUGAACGCUGGCGGCAGGCCUAACACAUGCAAGUCGAACGAGUGGCGGACGGGUGAGUAAGGUCUGGGAAACUGCCUGAUGGAUGGGGAUAACUACCGGGCACGGUUGCUAAUACCGCCUACCAUCGGCUAUGCCCGGAUGGGAUUAGCGAGUGGGUGGGGUAAAGGCUCACCAAGGCGACGAUCCCUAGCUGGUCUGAGAGGAUGACCAGCCACACUGGAACUGAGACACGGUCCAGACUCCUACGGGAGGCAGCAGUGGGGAAUAUUGGACAAUGGGCGAAAGCCUGAUGCAGCCAUGCCGCGUGUAUGAAGAAGGCCUUCGGGUUGUAAAGUACUUUCAGCGGGGAGGCGUUACCCGCAGAAGAAGCACCGGCUAACUCCGUGCCAGCAGCCGCGGUAAUUC